rnacentral:rRNA from 1 species
UGAACCAGCCAUGCCGCGUGCAGGAUGACGGCCCUAUGGGUUGUAAACUGCUUUUAUACCAGAGAAAACCCGAGUACGUGUACUCGGUUGAUAGUAUGGUAAGAAUAAGCAUCGGCUAACUUCGUGCCAGCAGCCGCGGUAAGACGAAGGAUGCAAGCGUUAUCCGGAUUCAUUGGGUUUAAAGGGUGCGUAGGCGGACCUGUAAGUCAGUGGUGAAAUCUCUUUGCUUAACAAAGAAACUGCCAUUGAUACUGCAAGUCUAGAGUAUAGAUGACGUUGGCGGAAUAUGACAUGUAGUGGUGAAAUACUUAGAUAUGUCAUAGAACACCGAUUGCGAAGGCAGCUAACGAAACUAUAACUGACGCUGAGGCACGAAAGUGCGGGGAUCAAACAGGAUUAGAUACCCUGGUAGUCCGCACCGUAAACGAUGAUUACUCGUUGUUGGCAAUAUGACCGUCAGCGACCAAGCGAAAGCGAUAAGUAAUCCACCUGGGGAGUACGCCGGCAACGGUGAAACUCAAAGGAAUUGACGGGGGCCCGCACAAGCGGAGGAGCAUGUGGUUUAAUUCGAUGAUACGCGAGGAACCUUACCUGGGCUUGAAAGUUAGCGACCGGUCCUGAAAGGGAUCUUCCAGCAAUGGCGCGAAACUAGGUGCUGCAUGGCUGUCGUCAGCUCGUGCCGUGAGGUGUUGGGUUAAGUCCCGCAACGAGCGCAACCCCUAUUGUUAGUUACCAGCGAGUAAUGUCGGGAACUCUAACGAAACUGCCCGUGCAAACGGUGAGGAAGGUGGGGACGACGUCAAGUCAUCACGGCCCUUACGUCCAGGGCUACACACGUGCUACAAUGGUCGGUACAACGGGCAGCUACACAGCGAUGUGAUGCUAAUCUCUAAAAACCUAUCUCAGUUCGGAUUGAAGUCUGCAACUCGACUCCAUGAAGCUGGAUUCGCUAGUAAUCGCGCAUCAGCAAUGGCGCGGUGAAUACGUUCCCGGGCCUUGUACACACCGCCCGUCAAACAAUGGAAGUUGAGGGUAUCUAAAGUCAGUAGCUGCAAGGCGCUGCCUAGGGUAAACUUGAUAACUGGUGUUAAGUCGUAACAAGGUAGCCGUACCGGAAGGUGCGGCUGG